UCCAGACCUGGAUAGAAAACCUUGGAGAUAGUACUUGAUGGGCAUCACGUAGCUGGUUGCUGGCAGAAACACUGAAGCAGAACUUGUAAUAUCUUCAAAACAAAUGAAGGCCAGGAAUCAGAAAUUCUUCCGAAGGUCAGCUGCCUCUCCAGCCAUCCAUGAAGAACUAUGGUUCUGAAUCCUGGCUAAUAUCAGAAUCAUCCAGGGAGCUUUUGAAAAUCCUGACGCUCAAGUCACACUCCAUACUCAGACAAGAAGCUCUCAGAGUCUCAGAGAGAGAAAAUGACUCAUUCAAGCAAGGUUUGAGACCUAAGAAAGGUUGUGUAAGCAGAAGCUGGAAGAGCCUUGAAAAGAGCAUUCAUUCAAGAAAUGAAGCAUGAAAUAGGGUGGAAGGAGGGAAGAAAGACAAGCACAUGGCAUGUCAGCUCUCUUUCAAUGCUAAAGGCUGCCUGUGAUACUCAUCUGACCUGAUUUCUCCUGCAACUGACGAGUAGCAGACUUGCCCUUGCCUGCAUUUGGGGGGAUGGCUGAGACUUUCCUUAUAGAAAGCCCUAUUUCCAGCAUGAACACUAACCCAGUUUAUUGGCUCAGAGUGUAGACAGUUGCCUUGUCACUGGUGAAGUCAGAUGCAGCCAGUACAAGAGCUCUGCACUAGCUGUGAACACUAAGGAAGAACAGCUGAGUGAGGAAGCAGAGUGCCAGGCAGUACAUCCUUCUUCAGGUGCUUCCUGCCCUGGGCCAGAUCCCAGGCACUGCAGGAAUAUCUCUGCAUGAUCUAGAGCUCCUGGAAAUAGCCCAUUAAGGGCAAAACUCACUUCCCAGAAAACAUUAGAACAUUAAAAGAGCAGGGUCUCA